rnacentral:snRNA from 1 species
GUGCUCUCUUCAGCAGCACUUAUGUAAAAUUAGAAGGAUAUAGAGAAGAUUAACAUGGCCCUUUACAAAGAUGAAAUGCACAUUUGUGAAACAUUCCGAAUUUUU